rnacentral:rRNA from 1 species
GAUGAACGCUGGCGGCGUGCUUAACACAUGCAAGUCGAAUGUAGCAAUACAUGGCGGACGGGUGAGUAACGCGUGAGCAAUCUGCCCAUGUCUGGGGGAUAACAGUUGGAAACGACUGAUAAUACCGCAUAAUAUGGUUUGAAGGCAUCUUCUUUCCAUCAAAGAUUUAUCGGAUAUGGAUGAGCUCGCGUCUGAUUAGCUAGUUGGUGAGGUAACGGCUCACCAAGGCGACGAUCAGUAGCCGACCUGAGAGGGUGAUCGGCCACAUUGGAACUGAGACACGGUCCAA